rnacentral:rRNA from 1 species
UACGUAGGGUGCGAGCGUUGUCCGGAAUUACUGGGCGUAAAGAGCUCGUAGGCGGUCUGUCGCGUCGAUCGUGAAAACUUGGGGCUUAACCCUGAGCUUGCGGUCGAUACGGGCAUGACUGGAGUUCGGCAGGGGAGACUGGAAUUCCUGGUGUAGCGGUGAAAUGCGCAGAUAUCAGGAGGAACACCGGUGGCGAAGGCGGGCCUCUGGGCCGAUACUGACGCUGAGGAGCGAAAGCGUGGGGAGCGAACAGG